rnacentral:ncRNA from 1 species
UCCCGAUAAAGGCAAACCCGGCGAAAGCGGCGACGCAAAGCUACAGGGGCUUCGCCGUUAACGUUAGCGGCAUGCCAGCCAGCUGCCGAA